rnacentral:rRNA from 1 species
UACGGGGGGGCAAGCGUUGUUCGGAAUUCCUGGGCGUAAAGGGCUCGUAGGCGGCCAACUAAGUCAGACGUGAAAUCCCUCGGCUUAACCGGGGAACUGCGUCUGAUACUGGAUGGCUUGAGUUUGGGAGAGGGAUGCGGAAUUCCAGGUGUAGCGGUGAAAUGCGUAGAUAUCUGGAGGAACACCGGUGGUGAAGGCGGCAUCCUGGACCAACACUGACGCUGAGUGAGCGAAAGCCAGGGGAGCAAACGGG